rnacentral:rRNA from 1 species
AACGAACGCUGGCGGCAGGCUUAACACAUGCAAGUCGAACGCAUCCUUCGGGGUGAGUGGCAGACGGGUGAGUAACGCGUGGGAACGUGCCCUUCAGUUCGGAAUAACCCAGGGAAACUUGGGCUAAUACCGGAUACGUGCGAGAGCAGAAAGAUUUAUCGCUGAAGGAUCGGCCCGCGUCUGAUUAGCUAGUUGGUGAGGUAAUGGCUCACCAAGGCGACGAUCAGUAGCUGGUCUGAGAGGAUGAUCAGCCACAUUGGGACUGAGACACGGCCCAAACUCCUGCGGGAGGCAGCAGUGGGGAAUAUUGGACAAUGGGCGCAAGCCUGAUCCAGCCAUGCCGCGUGAGUGAUGACGGCCUUAGGGUUGUAAAGCUCUUUCGUCCGGGACGAUAAUGACGGUACCGGAAGAAGAAGCCCCGGCUAACUUCGUGCCAGCAGCAGCCGCGGUAA